rnacentral:rRNA from 1 species
GAUGAACGCUGGCGGCGUGCCUAAUACAUGCAAGUCGAGCGAAUGGAUUAAGAGCUUGCUCUUAUGAAGUUAGCGGCGGACGGGUGAGUAACACGUGGGUAACCUGCCCAUAAGACUGGGAUAACUCCGGGAAACCGGGGCUAAUACCGGAUAACAUUUUGAACCGCAUGGUUCGAAAUUGAAAGGCGGCUUCGGCUGUCACUUAUGGAUGGACCCGCGUCGCAUUAGCUAGUUGGUGAGGUAACGGCUCACCAAGGCAACGAUGCGUAGCCGACCUGAGAGGGUGAUCGGCCACACUGGGACUGAGACACGGCCAAGACUCCUACGGGAGGCAGCAGUAGGGAAUCUUCCGCAAUGGACGAAAGUCUGACGGAGCAACGCCGCGUGAGUGAUGAAGGCUUUCGGGUCGUAAAACUCUGUUGUUAGGGAAGAACAAGUGCUAGUUGAAUAAGCUGGCACCUUGACGGUACCUAACCAGAAAGCCACGGCUAACUACGUGCCAGCAGCCGCCGUAACAC